AUCCACCCAAAAAAGCACCUGUUUCUCUACCACCAUUAUCUAUACCACCUGUUUCACUUCCACCAUUACCAUUACCACCAGCUUCUAAACCACCAAAGGUAUCCCCAGCACCUGCAAAGGUUCCAAAAGCACCAGCACCGGCCAAAGAAGCACCAGCACCAGCACCUACACACAAAAAGAAAGCACCAGCACCCGCACCAGACAAAGAAACACCGGCACCAGCACCUACACACAAAAAGAAGAAAGCACCAAAAUCAUCACCUGUUCCUUCCCCAGCAAUUCUCCCACCAUCACCUGCACCAACACCUGCAAUAGACACACCAUCAUCAGCACCAGCACCAUCGCCUGAAGAUGAUGCGCCAGAACCACCGCCACCCCACAAGCACAAGAGAAGAAAACACAAGCAUAGUAAGCAUAAGAAACAUCACGCACUAGCUCUAGCACCAGAGCCUACAAGUUCAAGUUCAACAAUCAUUAGGAGGAGUCCCCCAGCACCACUGGCUGAUGAUAAUACUACAAUGAGUUC
rnacentral:lncRNA from 1 species